AAAAAAAAAUGGGGGUGAUUAAAUUUUUAAAAAUUGAAUUAAGCAGCUGUGUUUGAAUCCUGUGGAUGCUCAUAUUAGGUCUAAACUGAGUUGUCCAGAGCUGGCGUUGGGUCGUGGAAUUGCAUGGAAAUUGUGUGGUGGCUCAGUCCUAGUGAUAGGUGACAUGUCAGCCCUGGGUUGUUGUCCAGGCUGGCAGGGAAAUUCCAGGUUUAGUCCAGUGGUUAUGAAACUGUUAGGCCGCGUUUCUCUUUUGAACAGAAGAAUCGUUUUUUCAAAUAAAAUAGUAAAUGUGUCAUCUCUACACAUAAAAUAGAUAAGGGUGACAUUUUAUGUUUAAAGUGAUACAUUGCCCCUCUCUGAAAACAGCCAAUGAAAAAAGCCAAAUUGUCCCUUUGAACUAACAUUGACCUCGUGAGUUAGAAGAGUCAGUUUGAGUUUUUAAGCAGCAUCAGCCUGUCAUUCGUCUCUAUGUGUGGAUUUACUGGCAGUGAAACUUAUUCAUCUGGUAUCUCAAGUGCCUGGCACAUGGUCUGGCUUAUGGGAGAGAUGAAUAAAUCAGUGACUCUGAGCUUGUGAGCCUCAGUAAGGUAGGAUGUAUAGGAGGCAGUCAGGCUCCCACCCCAGGGCCUUUGCACUUGCUGUGUGCUCUGCCUGGGAUGCUCUUCCCCUGCUGUCCCUUGGCUGGCACCCUCACGUCCUUCAGGAUUUUACCCAACAAGUACCUUCGCAUUGGCCUCUCCCUCAGGUAAAGGUUUCCUUUUCCCUCCCCUGCUCUUCUCUUCCCGACCUUUCCACCUUAACACUGUCACUGCCUCCCUAUUACUUUCUUGCUGGGUCUUAUCUGCCUCUCUCACCAGAGUGUCUCCUACACGAGGGUGGGGAUUUUUGUCUGUUCUUUUCGCUACUUUGAUAAUGUACUGGUUACACAGAGGCGCUCAGGAAAUGUUUCUUGCACUAAUUAAUUCAAAAAAUUAAAUUAUUAGGUAUUAAUUAAUUCAAAACAUUGAUUUAAAAAAAGGUAGGCGCUGCCUCUUAAUUCACCAUGUAGCCACCCUUUCCUGAAAGGACACCUACUGCCACCACUUCCGUCAAGCAGGCAGCUGAUGAAUGUUGGCCUGGGUGGUAAUGAGUUGGAACUUGAUGAGGCUGAGGAAGGUGGUCCACGCGAGAGCUCAGAGCAGCGGAGGGCUGUGGCCAGGUCUGUGAGUUCAGUGCAAACCGUGAUGCUCUAACUGCAGUGAGGAACGAAUUAGAACCCAAGGUGUCAGCCUGCCUCGUACACACUCUUCCUCCCUGAGGCAUGUUUAAUCAGCGGCAUUCUUUGGACCACGUGGUCAUCAGGGCAGGGAUGUUUUUCAGCUCCUCCUUAGGCUUAUAGAUUGAUCUCCUCGUGGUCUUUUGGCCUCUUCAGAUUGGUGCCUUCACUUGGGCCCCUACCGUCUUUCACCUGGACAGUGGCAGCCACAUUCCAGUGAACGUGCCCAUCCCAGGAAUCUACCUUUGCCAGUUCAUGCUGUGCUUGCUUAGAAAGUUUAUGUUCUAAAACCCAGAUCUGGUCCAUGAACUCACCUGCUUCAAAGCCUUCAAUGGCUUCCUAGUGUCUGGAGGUUACAUGUCAAACUCCUUUGUACAUUCAAGGUCAUGCUUUUCCUCCACUGCCACUACCCCAUCUCUUGUGGGGCAGUUCUUACCUCCCUGGAGGAGAUAGUUCUCUUUGGGGUCCCUGGACCUUUGCUGGUGUUAUUUGCACCUGCAGCACCCUCACACACUCCCACCUCCGUGUCCAUUGGAAGCAGUGAACGGCACUGCCCAUGGGGGCAGAUAACGUCUCUCAUCAUUCCAGGACAAAAUAUGAAUCUGGUACGUAUUUGUAGGGUGAAUUAAAAAAAAUAAUAUGGUGAAUUAAAAAAUAAAAGGCUGAUAACUGUGAUUUGCAUUGAAGUAGACAUCAAGUGUAUUGUCAUUACCAGGAGAUGGGCAUGGCUUGGUUCAUUUCAGCACCAUACAUAGUGGGAAACACACAGAGUGAUAAGACAGAACGUCUACACUUUCGAGAGUCAGUUGGAAAUAAUCAGCACUGGCCAGAAAUGUGAAAACUCUCCAGGAAACGGAGACGGACUCUAAUGGGUAAACUUGAGCAGCGAUCUUCUUAUUGGAUUCCCUGCCUGUGUUUUCUGCCCCCUCCCACCUGUACAUGUUUCUCAGCUGCAUCUUCUCAAGUGCACUUUUGGAUAUAUCAGCUCUCAUCUUAAAAAGCAAAUGUCUUGAGGUCCCUGUCACCUACAGAUAGAAGCCCAAACAACUUAUAAUAGCCACUUACUCCUCCCAUAGGACCCAGUCUUUGUCUGCUCUGACAUGCCCCGUGGGAUUCUGUCCUGCUCUGGGGAGCUUCUUCCUUACCACCAGGUUGGGAUGGCCCCUUUUUGGAAAGAUGCUAAGAGCAGCGGCAAACCUAAGGCAGCAGCAGUGUCCUGGGAGCCGUUGUUGUCUGUGCUGGUAUGUGACAUCUUGCCCUUACCUUGGANUUUUUUUCUUUCUUUUUUUUUUUUUUUUUUAGUUUUUUCAAAUUUAUCUUCUUUUUUAAAUUGAAGUAUAGUUCUGCAAACCACCCCCUCAGAGCAGACAUCAGAGUGCUUCUGCCUAACUGAGGUUCUCUCUCCUGGCUUCUCCCCACUACCAUCAGGAUCUGUUCAGAUACUGCACAGCUCAGCUUCCACGUCCACCCAAGUUCUGCUUGCACCUUCCUCUGAGGCAAAGAUGCUAGCCUUCAGAGCUGUGAGAAUCACCCAGGAACUUAAGGUGCACACUUCCAAGCCUUACCUUGGAGAACCCCGCAUUUUAGAUCAGCAAUCUGGCUGACUUCACUACGGGGUCCACUGCCUACACUUGGAGAAACAUUUUGAAAGUAUCAUCAGCAGUCCUUCUGUUGGUAUCUACUCAUUCAUUCCUUCUUCUAUUCAGUCACAAACAGGUAUUUCUUCUCUAGCAAAGCUUUUAUAGCAAAAAUUGCAUAUGAUGGGUGAAUUAAUGAAGAAGAAUGAGUUACAUCUGCUGUUAUUAGUUAUAAAGAAUUGUCUCCUAAAACCAUCCAGUAAUCAUAUGUCCCUU
rnacentral:lncRNA from 1 species